rnacentral:lncRNA from 1 species
GCCCAAGUGAUUGACAAGUAUUUUCCCCAACGUUUGGACUAUGACAGCAGCCAUCCUUGGGAGCUCGCUUCAUAAGGGACAUAAAACUGAAAGAGAAGAGAACACAAGGCCAUUGAAAGAGUGUAUCUAUCUAAUGGAUGUUGUGGUGGUACUUGUUCAGCAACAAAGAAGAGACAAAAGUGAGUUCAAGAUGAAAAAACUGCAUGUGAAGAGGACAGAAGACUUAUUUAGGAAUAUUAUGUGAGUCACUAGGUGACCAUAGAUUGUUUCUUUUUUUUUUUUUAAAUUUUUAUUUAUUUAUUUAUUAUAUGUAAGUACACUGUAGUUGUCUUCAGAUACACCAGAAGAGGGCCUGGGAUUUGAACUUCGGACCUUCGGAAGAGCAGUCGGGUACUCUUACCCACUGAGCCAUCUCACCAGCCCCAUAGAUUGUUUCUUAUGAGAGAAAGAAUUAAGUCAAUGAGAUCACAGAUCCUUUACUGAUUUUCUUUCUUGAUAGCAGAUUUUCCUAUCAAUGUUAAUCCAUGCAGCCAAAAUCUGUCUUUCCCCACUUCUCCUUAUAUUUCUGAGUGUAAAUGGAGAAGGGAUUGUGGACAAUGAGAUGUAGUUAUAACACUAUGUAAGAUUUUUAAGGUAUAUUGUAUGCUUUUUUUGGUCUUUAAAGCUGCGCGAAUAUUUAUCUUUCUUUUCUCAGAUACAUACUUACAAAAAUGUAGAUUCAUGUUUACCUAAAGGAAUGACAAAAGAUGAUUAAACAGCACUCUCAUAUAAUUACAAAUUAGAUAAAACCAACAUGUACAUGAACAGGUAAACUGACAAUCAUGUUUUUCAUAUUGUAUACUGAGUACUUUAUAAUAAUGAAAUAUAGUGCCCAUAUUUUUUAGAAUAAAGUCUUAAAAAAUUGUAAGAAGCAAGGGACCAUAGCAAGAAACAGCAGUGAAUGGUCUGGGUUGGUGUGAGGGUUGUUAUAUGUCCAUUUUUGUAUUUUUGGUGUUCAUCAACUGUAACAGUCAGUCAUUCAAUAUUGCUGAAUAUAAGUGAAGCAGGGGGCGUUUCCAAGAGACAUGGCUGUUGUGUCACUGCAGUCAUCCAUAAUAAUCUGUAGUUCUCCAAAAAGAGAAGUAUUAUAUUAUACGUUGCAUAUCUUCCUGAGGUAAUAAAAGAUCUGUCAGCCAUAGCCAUUUUUCACGUUUUAAAUACUCAAAUAAAU